GCGCCAAGCAGGAGCCUUGAAGUUGCCCAACAGUACUGAGCACCAGCAUACCAGACUGAGCAGGCACACAACUUGCCUUGUCAUAGCCUUCCCUGCUGUGACAUUUUGACUUUUUGAACUGCUAACACAUCAGCCCUUAUCAAUGAAAGUAAUAUACUGUAUUAGUGUAUGCCUGUUAAGUCACAAGGCCACUGAAGAAGACUCUUUGUCAAAACACGUUUAGCUGUACUCUGUUUUUGUAUUGUAUAGGCAUUGAUUUAUAAUUACCAUCUGCAGAAUGUUAUGGCUGUAUUCUGUUUUUUUGUAUUUCAUCUUAUAUGGGCAUUAAUUCAAUACCACAUGCAGAAUUUUAGCAGUGAUUUUAUAUUGGUUCUAUA